GAUGAACGCUGGCGGCGUGCCUAAUACAUGCAAGUCGAGCGAACAGACGAGGAGCUUGCUCCUCUGAUGUUAGCGGCGGACGGGUGAGUAACACGUGGAUAACCUACCUAUAAGACUGGGAUAACUUCGGGAAACCGGAGCUAAUACCGGAUAACAUGUUGAACCGCAUGGUUCAACAGUGAAAGACGGUCUUGCUGUCACUUAUAGAUGGAUCCGCGCCGCAUUAGCUAGUUGGUAAGGUAACGGCUUACCAAGGCAACGAUGCGUAGCCGACCUGAGAAGGUGAUCGGCCACACUGGAACUGAGACACGGUCCAGACUCCUACGGGAGGCAGCAGUAGGGAAUCUUCCGCAAUGGGCGAAAGCCUGACGGAGCAACGCCGCGUGAGUGAAGAAGGUCUUCGGAUCGUAAAACUCUGUUAUUAGGGAAGAACAAAUGUGUAAGUAACUAUGCACGUCUUGACGGUACCUAAUCAGAAAGCCACGGCUAACUACGUG
rnacentral:rRNA from 1 species